rfam:Oryza barthii chromosome 3, whole genome shotgun sequence.
AAAUAGACAAACCCUGGUUUCCGUGCCCAACGUUUGACUGUCCGUUUUAUUUGAAAAAAUUAUGAAAAAAAUUAAAAAGACAAGUCACAUACAAAAAUAUUAAUCAUGUUUUAUCAUCUAACAACAAUGAAAAUACGAAUUAUAAAAAAAAAAUUAUAUAAGACGGACAGUCAAAAUUGGACACAAAUUCAGGAUUUGUCUUUUU